rnacentral:SRP_RNA from 1 species
AGGUUAGCUUGGGCAUGCUAUUCGCCAACUCGGUCAGAUCCGGAAGGAAGCAGCCGUAACGAUUGUUAGUGUGGGUCACUGCUAAUCUUCC